ACGGCUCUGCUGCCUACACCCAGAUCCUGAGUUGUUCACACCUGGGACUGAUGACUAUAUUGCCCGUGGACUUGCAGUGACUGUUCUGUUCUAUUCUUGGUCAACAUAGCUGCAUGGUAGCAGGAGGGAAACAAGCCAUCUUGCGUGAAUCUGUUUCAUGACUCUGGUCAACUUUCCGGCCAACUCAGAUGAACUAGCUUCGGAGAGAAGCUGUCUAUUGUUUGGUAAUCGAGGGGUCAUCUCAACACGGCAACUCGCAAAAAUAUCUCGUCGCAGUAUUGUCUUUGGUGUGGUAUUCGCAAUAUUUUAACGGCGCAGAAAUAAAGCUGUUGGUUUAAACAUGAUAUUUUUAUUUCAAAAGAAAUCUGGAUCGGUAAACAAGCAAAACUUGCUUAUGUAAAUACCUCUCCAGGUAAUAACUUUACAACAGCUGGUUAUAUAUCAGAUUAUAUGUAAAAUAGUGCUAAACAUAAACAUACUAAAUGCACAAAUGAAAUAUAUGAAGCCAAUACAAGUGGUGUAAGUGAAAUAAGAUAUAGCAGUUUUCCAUUACUACAUGCAUAAAAUUAAGCUACUUUUUGCCUUUCAGUAUUUCAAGAGAAAUAUACAGUAUACCACAUACGGUAAUAUACAAUGGACCGCGAGCAGUGUGCGCAAACCCCUCAUGGGGGAGUGACCAGGUCACAUGUCAGGCGUGCACUGGACAGCUGUUUCACUGGGGGCUAGUGAGGGAUGCGGGAGGCCGGCCAUACAUACAUGUACUCUUGGAGUUGUGGGACUGCAACUUCAUGCUGUUGUCUUAUAAGGCCAAGAGUAAGAUCACCAGGGCGACCACUGCACGUGAGGCAUGUGGGUUGUGGACGAGAUACUACAUGGCAUAGCUGUAUUACCUUAUAAAGAAUAGUAAUGAAUGUUAGAAAGAGAUAUAUCCAUCAAGUCCGGCGCGAGCUGGCAGUUGAGAUCUGGGAGCUGAACACGAAACAGCUAGUGAAGCUCCCAUGCACAAUAAAACGUUGUGGACCCGCA